UCCCCCUUCUCCCCCCCCCCGGCUUCGGACAGCUCCGAGAGCAGAAAAUGGCCCCUGGGCUGCUCUGCUGCUGUUGAUGCGAUCCCUGGACCCCCCCCACCGUAACCCCGCACCACAAAGAAGAGGAGAACCCUGUGCCCUGCAGCGGCCAUGAAGACAGAGAAGGAUGAAGCUCUGCCCAACUUCUCCCUGGGGGGGAAAUACUCCGGGGAGGGGGCAGGCCCCAUGACAGCACUGGGGAGUGGAGGAGCCCCCCCAGCACAGGACCUGCGGCUCCUAAAGCGCCGUCCAGCCCCAGGGAAGCACUACGCCUGCUCCAGCUACGGCUGCAAACUGGCCUUCCCCAGCAUGCAAGAGCUGAUGGACCACCUGAAGGUGCACUACAGACCCACGCAGUCCCUUGAGGGCAAAACCUUCCAGUGCCCCACGCUGGGCUGCACAGAGACCUUCCCCAGCAUGCAGGACCUCAUGGCACACAUGAAAGUGCACUACAAACCCAACCGCUACUUCAAGUGUGAGAACUGCCUGCUGCGCUUCCGCACCCACCGCUCCCUCUUCAAGCACCUCCACGUCUGCUCCGACCGCGCCAGCAGCCCCGCACCGCCCCCCCAAAAGGCCGAGAAGCCCAACCUGCCCCCCGCAUCCACCCAAGAGAAGGAACCCACGGCCAAACCCCCCCCCGAGGGGCUGCCCAAGCCCCCCACCGUCAUCCGGCACACGGAGAAAGAAGCCAUCAGCACAGCCCCUGGCACAGACACGGCCUCCAGCCUCCCCGACUCACUGGAAGCUCUGCCACUCGUCCCACAGGCCCCACAUCCCUUCCCACUGCUGGAACCCAACCUGUUUGGCCCUCCGACCUUGACUCGCUUCUCAGGGCCGCAUCCUCCUCCUCCUCCCCCUUCCUCGGUGCCAUUCCUCUCCUACGUGCACCCCCCGGUGCCCUUCAGCCUGCCCACAGCCCAGCCCCGUCUGCGGCCCUGCUCGCCCAGCCAUGGCCCAUCAGCCUCCAACGCCGUCUGGAAGAAGAGCCAAGGUGUGAGUGUCAGCCCACUCCUCCCAUGCUUUGGCUCAGGAGUGACUCCAGUGCUCAGCAUGGGGGUGCUCCUACCCCAUACGUAUCCCACGUGUGCUCCCAGCAGACUCUGUGCUUCCCUCCUUCACCUGUCCUUGCAGGGCACUCCUCCAACAGCCGCAUCGUGUGGGAGCACACACGGGGCCGUUACACCUGCAUGCAGUGCCCCUAUAACACGGCUUCAAGGGAGGAGAUGACGCUGCACAUCGAGGAGCAUCGCAAGAACCCCCCAGCAGCCGGGCGCAUGGACACAGACGUGGACUUCGGGGUGAGCGUCGCCUCCUUCCACUCGAAGCUGACGCCAGAGAUGGAGAACUCCCUGUACUCACAGCUCUGAGACACCCCACUGCUCCUGCUGAGCUGAGGGCACCCCAUGCUACGCAGCACCUGGACCCUGGGAGCAUCCCCAGCACAGGCUGCCAGAGGAGGGUGGCAAUUUGGGGCCUCUUUUGAGCCUGCCCCCACUUUAUUUUUGAGAUGCUGAACCCCCCAGGAGCCCUCGUGUCUCUUCCUUCCCUAGAAGCUUCAUUGGUCCAGUCUGGGGGUGGGGAGGUGAAGGGUUUGGGGAGAGCCCAUUGGAUGCUCAGGAACAAGAUCUGGAAAUUAAUAAAUGGGAAUUGUACAGGA